rnacentral:sRNA from 1 species
ACAAAAAGUGUACCAGACUGAGCGAGUUGAUAGAAGCUUUGUACAAAUAGGAAGAACACAAGUUUUGUUUUUUCUUUAAAAUACCGCAUCUGCAAAAAUGUCUAAAGUCAAGUAUACAAUUGUAAGGUAAAAGUUGGCUGUGGGAGAAAAGACGUACAAAAGUUUCACCGAGGAGUUCUUGGAGAUACAAUUACACCAGCGACUGUCCACCAGUUAGCUGUCAAUUUCUCGUUUCUUAUUAAGCACUCAAAUGAAUAUAGGUGGAAAAAUAACCCUGCAAAUUUUAUGGGCUUAAUAUUCAAUUGUGAUUAUAUGUGACAUUUUAUUUAAAAAGUGUAUAGAAUUACUGGUACUUUCAAAAUACCGGUAUUCACAAAAUACCGUCCCUUUAAAAAAAUAACUAUUGGUGUAAAGACGUAACUUAAUGACGCUACAAAAAAUGUAAUGGUAAAAUAAAUUGUGGAAAGUCUGGCAGAGUAGCCUCAGCUUCCAAGUAAAAAAACUGCAUUACCCGGUAUUAGAUACCGGUAUGUAACAUUAGCUAUCUAUAUGGUUGGGAAAAUGUUAAAUCGAAAUACAAGCUGGCUGGACAACAUGAAACAAUCAUGUCACAUUUUUAAUGACCCACUAGCAAAGUGUUUUUUUUAAAUCUCUCGCUAUCACUUACUGGUUCGAAUUUUUUAUAUCUUAUAAUAAGGUGAUGUCACUUACUGGUAAUCAUAAAACCUAGGGUAUUUAAUGAUGUCACAUAAUCAUAAUGCCUGAAGUAUUUAAUAUCUUUGCAGAAUUAACUUAGAUUUGAGGCUUAUGGUAUUGAUUUCCGAAAGGGUAUCAAUGCAAAGUUAACAUUCUAAGAAGUAAUGUUUUCCUAGUUUGUAGGGCGAGUAGUGAAAGGUGACCAAGUUGUUAAAUCCAUCAUGCAGACCAAGUGUUGCUUAUCCUUGAAUGUAUAUUUUAGUUUAGUAAUAACCUAUCAUUGUAAUUCAUAAAUUAAGUAAUAAUUUAUGUUCACACAUUAGUCUCAUGCACUUCAUAGACAAGGAGCAUGCAAUUUUCUUUUUAAAGUGAAGGGUAGAUAACCUCGACAUGCACCCAUACAGGACAAUAGCAGAGGAUGAAAUAAUCUACUUCUCACCAAAUAGUCAGGACUGAGUUUCAUCAACUUUUCUAUGACCCAGUAUAAUUGAACCCAGGAAACUACCUCAAAAAUAUCAGAAAGUAGACUAGUUUAUCCUCUGUAUCAACUCUAAAAGUCCAUUCCUCUACUUAGAAAAAAAAUUAAAGUAAAUAUGCAUAGCAAAAGAAAAUUUUGUUGGUUUAUUUAUUUCUCUAAGGAUCUUUCCACAAAAGCCAAAAAAAAAAAAGUGAAACUACUAAAGAGCAAGGUUCUGAGUAAGCUGGAAGCCUCUCUUGGAUAUUACAAUAUAACACUUAGGGCUACUUGAUGCACACUCAAAGUAUACUAAGCCUACCUGCACAUUGAGGAACUCUUCAGUUCCCACAAUGAUAGCUGGGACAUUGUUACUUUACUUUUAGAAGAGUUACAAGAAGAAAAAAAACAUGCAAUGCAAUUGUUAAUCAAUACAAGCACACACACACACAGAAAAAGCAUAAAUAAUGUUAAAGUGAGUAAUGGUCAUUCACUAAACUCUAACUUAAACAACAAAAAAUUCAUGUCAUAACAUUAAUUACACAAUUUGAAACAUAUGUAAACAAUAUCAUUGAAUCAAAAAAUGUGUAAAUUCAAAUAUAAAAAAAAAAAAGGUUGGCAGAACAUGAUUUGCCUGAAAGGUUAAAUAGCAUGCAAUGUGUUGGAUGUCCUGGCCAAAGUAUGCUUUCACUUCCUGGUGAAUGUUAGUAGAACAAUAGAAUCAUGCUUGGAAAGAAAUACACAUAAGGAAGAUCACUUUGCUAAUUAAUAAUAAAAGCAUUGAGACUUUCAAUUAGCCAAUAUUUAUGUAAAAAGAAAGAAAAGAAAAAAAAUCCCACACACAUAAAAAGCAAUUCUUUUUUUGGAAGUCAAUUAUAGGUAGAUGAUUAAAAAUGUGAAAAUUUUCUGACAAACCUGAAGCAAUCGUUGGUAGAUCAUGCAGGUCAAAGAAAAGCACAACAGAUCAUAAACAUUCAAAUUUUAAAAAGCCAUAGUAAAGAACCAUUGGUAUUUUAUCUCAUACACAUCAUGCUACUAAAUUAAUUCAACAAGAUGUUGAGUUAACUAUCUGUCCAAUGAAUAGUGCUUCUUAACAGAGACAUACAGUCUACAGUAAAAUUGAUGAUAACAACAGAAAUAAACAACUUAAAACACAGCAUUGUUUCUGAUGGUAUCUUUUAUAAUAAACAAGAGAGACAACUCUUGACAAAAAAUAUCAUGGAAGACAAUCAUUUGAUUUUUGUGUUCAGCUUGUCUGAAGUUUGUUGACACAAUGACAGAAACUAGAGCUGGGUACAAAUACAAGCUUCAAAAUGUUGGACAGUUUGUUUUUUGGUUAAUAACUUAGUCAAUACUGUUUAGCUGGAGCAUUUUUUUUCUUCUUAUGCAAUUUCUCAGUUCAAUAAGAAUUUAAAUGAAAAAAAAAGGUGAUUUUAAUUAUAUAUUAUAUAUAAAUAGCAGUAUUUAUAUAUUUAUUUAUUUGAAAAUUCAUGUUUCAUUAUUUGAAAAAGUUUCUUUUUGUAUCUCUUCUUUACCUAUCUUUUAAUGUCAGACGAAAUCUUUAAAUAAAAAAAUUGAAGAUACCUUAAUGAACUGAGAAUACAUAAGCAGAAAAAAAAAAGGAAAGAAAAAAAAAGGUCAGAUGUAAUGAGUACAAAAAAACUUGUACAAAAUGUUACACUUGUACAUCUUUAGAAAUAAAUUGUACAAUAUACAGUGAAUUAUUGAUAAACAGCAAACUGAACUACAAGAUCAUGUAUAUCAGUACAAUGUCCACUUAUUUAUUGGUAGUCAAAGAGUGAAGACUGAUUCUAACAUUGCCUGGGCACACUAUAAUGAAGUCAUGAUUUAUUUGUACCAUUGCUUCUAUGUGGUGAUGGCCCAAGCCUUGGGGAAAUGUUUAUGUACAAGAAAUACUUUUGAAAUGCUAUGCUGUUUCGUCUGGUACAUUGAAAACUAGACAUCAGAAAGUUAACAAUAUAAAAGAAAGAAAUACAAACAUGGUUUAUCUCUAGGUGUUGACAGAAGUGGAACUCAUUUUCAUGAAAUGUUUUAGAUUUUUUU